GGUCUGAGAGGAUGAUCAGCCACAUUGGGACUGAGACACGGCCCAAACUCCUACGGGAGGCAGCAGUGGGGAAUCUUGCGCAAUGGGCGAAAGCCUGACGCAGCCAUGCCGCGUGAAUGAUGAAGGUCUUAGGAUUGUAAAAUUCUUUCACCGGGGACGAUAAUGACGGUACCCGGAGAAGAAGCCCCGGCUAACUUCGUGCCAGCAGCCGCGGUAAUACGAAGGGGGCUAGCGUUGCUCGGAAUUACUGGGCGUAAAGGGAGCGUAGGCGGACAUUUAAGUCAGGGGUGAAAUCCCGGGGCUCAACCUCGGAAUUGCCUUUGAUACUGGGUGUCUUGAGUGUGAGAGAGGUGU
rnacentral:rRNA from 2 species